AACGAACGUUGGCGGCGUGGAUUAGGCAUGCAAGUCGAACGCGAAUCCCUGGGCAACUGGGGAGGAGAGUGGCGAAAGGGGCAGUAAGGCGUGGGUAACCUACCCUCCGGGCCGGGAUAGCUUCGGGAAACUGAAGGUAAUACCGGGCGACGCAGCGAGAUCGCAUGGUCUUGCUGCCAAAGGUCCGCCGCCGGGGGAGGGGCUCACGUGGUAUUAGCCAGACGGCGGGGUAACGGCCCACCGUGGCAAAGAUGCCUAGCAGGUGUGAGAGCACGACCUGCGCCACUGGCACUGAGACACUGGCCAGACACCUACGGGUGGCUGCAGUCGAGGAUCUUCGGCAAUGGGCGCAAGCCUGACCGAGCGACGCCGCGUGUGCGAUGAAGGCCUUCGGGUUGUAAAGCACUGUCGAGGGGGAGGAAGCCGCAAGGUUGACCUAUCCCUGGAGGAAGCACGGGCUAAGUUCGUG
rnacentral:rRNA from 1 species